AAAACAGACUGUACAGUAUUUCAAAAACCACUAAGAUUCACUGCCUGUGAAUGUGUCUGUUGUUGCACUCGGCGAACAACUAUUUAAAAUCUGUGAACUGCUAGACAAACCGGUAAAUCUUCCUAAAAAGACAGUGUGUGUACCUUCCAUAAAAAUGUGAAGCAGUUUUACACAUGUACAUAUGCAGUGGUUUUAAACUGCACGCAAGCCGGUUAUACAGUUAUUGUGGCAGAAUGGUAGCUUGUAAAUGGAGUAUCUCAAUAGGAUUUGCACAUUUAGUAUUUACAUAUGCAUUAGGUCUCUUAGGUUUUAGCUUAAGACCAACAUGAGCGAGUGAGAUAAACUCGACUAGCUUAGGUAAGGCAUCAAGCGUGAAAUCCAUGCAUUAGACCCCUCAGCAUCGGACCCCAAACCUUUUUUCAAUGCUAAAUAUGAAAUUAUCCCACCUUACCACAUUGCUGAAGAAUAAUGGUGGAUAUCCUGGGCAAAUGUGCAUUACUAAUUACCAUGUUGGAUAUCUUGGGCAAAUGUGCAAUACCAUGAGGGAUAUCUUGGGCAAAUGUGCAAUACAACAAGGGAUAUCUUAAAGGCAAAUGUGCAAUAUCACUGCUGGAUAAAUUGGUUCAUUACUUAUAAGUUACAUUACUGAGGAAAGAAGACGUCGUAUAUAAGGUUAGUGGAUAUUUACAAUAAUAAAGUGGGAAGGGUUCCCUGCGGCUCAAAGUAACGUUGUGUUUGCACGAUAACAAUACGACGGUGCAGUCAACAAUAUGGCAGAUCCGGAAUAAUUUGUAACAAUAUGGCGGAGUAACAGUGAUGUGCGCUUAAAACCUGCGUUCUUCUAAAAAUUGUGAGUUGAACAUCCAACAAAACAAUGCUUCUGUAACUACAUGUAAAAAUUAAGGUUUUAGACAUGAGUUUAGGAAUUUUUUAUUUUUUUAUUUAUGAUUUUCUAUAAAUGGGGGCCCCUAUUUGAGAUAUAUAAUAAUGUCAUAGAUUGUAAUAAAUAUUUUUGUAAAGUGUGCGGAUAAGAUAGUGUUUCAG